GUAGGUGGCAAGCGUUGUCCGGAAUUAUUGGGGCGUAAAGCGCGCGCAGGCGGUUCUUUAAGUCUGAUGUGAAAGCCCACGGGCUCAACCGUGGAGGGUCAUUGGAAACUGGAGAACUUGAGUACAGAAGAGGAAAGCGGAAUUCCACGUGUAGCGGUGAAAUGCGCAGAGAUGUGGAGGAACACCAGUGGCGAAGGCGGCUUUCUGGUCUGUAACUGACGCUGAAGCGCGAAAGCGUGGGGAGCAAACAGGAUUAGAUACCCUGGUAGUCCACGCCGUAAACGAUGAGUGCUAAGUGUUAGGGGGUUUCCGCCCCUUAGUGCUGCAGCUAACGCAUUAAGCACUCCGCCUGGGGAGUACGGCCGCAAAGGCUG
rnacentral:rRNA from 1 species